CAUAGACAAACACUUUGCAUGAACAGCUGCAUGGUCCAGUGGGACACUUUAUAGUCCUGAGAGGUGCACUCUGGAGCACUGGCAGCUGUCCUUCAUGACAACACAAGCCACAUACGGCCUCCUCAUCACCAACAUGACUUUGGUGUGCGUCCUCAUGUGGACUGUCCUCUGCUGCUGCUUCACAGAGUCCAGAGGACAGGUGACAGUGAGUCAGGCUGGAGCAGUGAGGGCCGCCCUGGGGGACACCGUCAACAUAGACUGUAAUCUCAGUCAGGAUCUGUACAAGUUUAAGGGAGACAUCUACGUUCUGUCCUGGUACCAACACAGAGAUGGAGAGCCUCCUAAAGCUCUUAUAUAUAGAAUUUCUAAUCGAACCUCAGGUGUCCCCAGUCGUUUUUCAGGCAGUGGAUCUGGGUCUCACUUCACUCUGACCAUCAGUGGAGUUCAGCCUGAAGACUCUGCUGUGUAUUACUGUCAGAGUGAACACUACAUCAACAGUCAGAAUGUGUUCACACAGUGAAAAAGACUCGUACAAAAACCUUCUCAGACUGAAGUGAAACUGAACUGAGCUGUGGCGGUGCUUCCUUCAUCGUGUGUUUAUGUAGAAAACACAUGACACCAACUGAAAAUUGAAAAUUCAGACUUAUUGAGUCAGUAUUUUAUCUCAAACUGGUGUACACCACAUUUCCUGAUCAGACUAGUAUUGAUCUGACAAUAACACAUUUACUUUCAUUCACAUUGAUUAAAGUUUUCUGUCCUGUGAUGGAUUUCCAUCAAACGAAGGCACUCGAGGUCAAUCAUGAGACUGAUGCAGAUCAGAGGAGAAAAAAUAAGGGGUGUCCAAUACAUCGAUCACGAUCUACCAGUCGAUUGCCAAGGUCGUGUGGGUAGAUCAUAGUGUCGUAGUAUUUGUCAUGCUAGCGCCUCGCUCCUCGCCUUUUCAUGCUCUCACUCCUCCCCACAUACAGCACACAGGCUCCAUCUUUUCUGCGCCGAUGAGAAGAGCAAGAUGAAAUGCGAAGCAAAAACAAAUCUAAAUGUAUGUUACAGUGUUGGCACAGAGGAGCCUACAGCACAGAACAGACCUAACAUGACAUGUGGCUGAAGUUUGCUUAAUAAAAGUGCACAGAUGCAUCUGUGUUUGUCACCAUGUGCGUUUGGUUUGAUAAAUGUGCAGAGGCUGGAAAAUCCCACUGCAAAACAA